rnacentral:rRNA from 9 species
GGGAACUCAAAGGAGACUGCCAGUGAUAAACUGGAGGAAGGUGGGGAUGACGUCAAGUCAUCAUGGCCCUUACGACCAGGGCUACACACGUGCUACAAUGGCGCAUACAAAGAGAAGCGACCUCGCGAGAGCAAGCGGACCUCAUAAAGUGCGUCGUAGUCCGGAUUGGAGUCUGCAACUCGACUCCAUGAAGUCGGAAUCGCUAGUAAUCGUGGAUCAGAAUGCCACGGUGAAUACGUUCCCGGGCCUUGUACACACCGCCCGUCACACCAUGGGAGUGGGUUGCAAAAGAAGUAGGUAGCUUAACCUUCGGGAGGGCGCUUACCACUUUGUGAUUCAUGACUGGGGUGAAGUCGUAACAAGGUAACCGUAGGGGAACCUGCGGUUGGA